UGGGGAAUAUUGGACAAUGGGGGCAACCCUGAUCCAGCGAUGCCGCGUGAGUGAUGAAGGCCUUCGGGUUGUAAAGCUCUUUUGUGGGGGACGAUGAUGACGGUACCCCACGAAUAAGCCCCGGCUAACUUCGUGCCAGCAGCCGCGGUAAUACGAAGGGGGCUAGCGUUGUUCGGAAUGACUGGGCGUAAAGGGUGCGUAGGCGGUUUAAUAAGUUUGGUGUGAAAGUCCUGGGCUCAACCUGGGGAUUGCACUGGAAACUAUUAGACUAGAGAUCGAGAGAGGAAAAUGGAAUUGCGAGUGUAGAGGUGAAAUUCGUAGAUAUUCGCAAGAACACCGGUGGCGAAGGCGGUUUUCUGGCUCGAUACUGACGCUAAGGCACGAAAGCGUGGGGAGCAAACAGG
rnacentral:rRNA from 1 species